CAACCCCUCAGGCCCGGCCUGGCGUUGGAGGACUGCGCGUGCGCAGCCUCCCAAAGCGAGCGGCGGCGGCGCCCCGAGACCGAACGCAGUAGUUACCUCUCGUUCUGGGACCGGGACGUUGUCCUGCCGGAAAACCCCCAACUUUUCGUGG
rnacentral:misc_RNA from 1 species